UUUAAUAAAAUAUUAUAUUACCUGCUCAAUGAUAAAUUUAAAUAGCCGCGUUAGUGCUAAGGUAGCAAAAUAAUUAGUUUUUUAAUUGAAAAAUAGAAUGAAUGGUUUAAUAAAGUUAAAAUAAUUUUAUAAAAUUUUAUGAAAUUAAAAAUUAAGUGAAAAUUCUUAAUGAAAUUUUUUAGACGAGAAGACCCUAUGAAACUAAAAAUUAUUUUUUAAAAUUAUAAUAAAUAAUAUAUUUAUUUUUUGGGGAAAAAUUUAAUAUUAUUAUUUUUAAAUUUUUAAUAAAAAUAAAUUGAUCCUUUAGGAAUAAUGAAUCAGUUCCUCUAGGGAUAACAGCAUAAUGUUCAUAAAAGAUCAUAUUAAACUGAAUGUUUGUGACCUCGAUGUUGAAUUAAAUUUUUAUAUAUGUGCAGUAGCUUAUAUAAAGUAGUCUGUUCGACUAGUUAUAU
rnacentral:rRNA from 1 species